UACGGGGGGAGCAAGCGUUGUUCGGAUUUACUGGGCGUAAAGGGCGCGUAGGCGGCCACUGCAAGUCAGUUGUGAAAUCUCCGGGCUUAACCCGGAAAGGUCAACUGAUACUGCAGGGCUAGAGUGCAGAAGGGGCAACUGGAAUUCUCGGUGUAGCGGUGAAAUGCGUAGAUAUCGAGAGGAACACCUGCGGCGAAGGCGGGUUGCUGGGCUGACACUGACGCUGAGGCGCGAAAGCCAGGGGAGCGAACGGG
rnacentral:rRNA from 1 species